rnacentral:rRNA from 1 species
CUCCGGUUGAUCCUGGCGGAGGUUACUGCUAUCGGUGUUCGNCUAAGCCAUGCGNGUCAUAUGUUCUUUGMGAACAUGGCGUACUGCUCAGUAACACGUGGAUAACCUGCCCUUGGGUCCGGCAUAACCCCGGGAAACUGGGGAUAAUACCGGAUAACGCACAUAUGCUGGAAUGCUUUCUGCGUAAAACGGAUUCGUCUGCCCAAGGAUGGGUCUGCGGCCUAUCAGGUAGUAGUGGGUGUAACGNACCUACUAGCCGACAACGGGUACNGGUUGUGAGAGCAAGAGCCCGGAGAUGGAUUCUGAGACAUGAAUCCAGGCCCUACGGGNNSMNSAGGCGCGAAAACUUUACAAUGCGGGWAACCGUGAUAAGGGGACACCGAGUGCCAGCAUCAUAUGCUGNCUGUCCGGAUGURUAAAAUACAUCUGUUAGCAAGGGCCGGGCAAGACCGGUGCCAGCCGCCGCGGUAACACCGGCGCCCCGAGUGGUGAUCGUGAUUAUUGGGUCUAGAGGGUCCGUAGCCGGUUUGGUCAGUCCUCCGGGAAAUCUGACAGCUCAACUGUUAGGCUWUCGGGGGAUACUGCCANACUUGGAACCGGAAGAGGUAAGGGGUACWACAGGGGUAGGAGUGAAAUCUUGUAAUCCCUGUGGGACCACCUGUGGCGAAGGCDUCUUACCAGAACGGGUUCGACGGUGAGGGACGAAAGCUGGGGGCACGAACCGGAUUAGAUACCCGGGUAGUCCCAGCCGUAAACGAUGCUCGCUAGGUGUCAGGCAUGGCGCGACCGUGUCUGGUGCCGCAGGGAAGCCGUGAAGCGAGCCACCUGGGAAGUACGGMCGCAAGGCUGAAACUUAAAGGAAUGGGCGGGGAGGSAC